rnacentral:rRNA from 1 species
CGGCUCAACCGUGGAGGGUCAUUGGAAACUGGGGGACUUGAGUGCAGAAGAGGAGAGCGGAAUUCCACGUGUAGCGGUGAAAUGCAUAGAGAUGUGGAGGAACACCAGUGGCGAAGGCGGCUCUCUGGUCUGUAACUGACGCUGAGGCGCGAAAGCGUGGGGAGCGAACAGGAUUAGAUACCCUGGUAGUCCACGCCGUAAACGAUGAGUGCUAAGUGUUAGAGGGUUUCCGCCCUUUAGUGCUGCAGCAAACGCAUUAAGCACUCCGCCUGGGGAGUACGGUCGCAAGACUGAAACUCAAAGGAAUUGACGGGGGCCCGCACAAGCGGUGGAGCAUGUGGUUUAAUUCGAAGCAACGCGAAGAACCUUACCAGGUCUUGACAUCCUCUGACACUCCUAGAGAUAGGACGUUCCCCUUCGGGGGACAGAGUGACAGGUGGUGCAUGGUUGUCGUCAGCUCGUGUCGUGAGAUGUUGGGUUAAGUCCCGCAACGAGCGCAACCCUUGAUCUUAGUUGCCAGCAUUUAGUUGGGCACUCUAAGGUGACUGCCGGUGACAAACCGGAGGAAGGUGGGGAUGACGUCAAAUCAUCAUGCCCCUUAUGACCUGGGCUACACACGUGCUACAAUGGAUGGUACAAAGGGCAGCAAAACCGCGAGGUUAAGCCAAUCCCAUAAAACCAUUCUCAGUUCGGAUUGCAGGCUGCAACUCGCCUGCAUGAAGCCGGAAUCGCUAGUAAUCGCGGAUCAGCAUGCCGCGGGUGAAUACGUUCCCGGGGCCUUGUACACACCGCCCGUCACACCACGAGAGUUUGUAACACCCGAAGUCGGUGGGGUAACCGUAAGGAGCCAGCCGCCUAAGGUGGGACAGAUGAUUGGGGGUGAAGUCGUAACAAAGGU